rnacentral:rRNA from 1 species
UCAAGCUGUAAAGGGCGCAAGGGGAAUGCCUUGGCACUGAGAGCCGACGAAGGACGCGACAAGCUGCGAUAAGCUACGGGGAGCCGCAAAUGGGCUUUGAUCCGUGGAUUUCCGAAUGGGGAAACCCGGCAGAGCAAUACUCUGUCAACGUACACUGAAUACAUAGGUGUACGUGGGGAACCGCCUGAACUGAAACAUCUAAGUAGGGCGAGGAAGAGAAAUCAACCGAGAUUUCCUCAGUAGUGGCGAGCGAACGGGAAAGAGGCCAAACCGAGAGAAGCAAUUCUUUCGGGGUUACGGACUGCAUUUAGCAUUCAGCGAUUUUAACCGAAAUGUAUUGGAAAAGCAUACCGAAGAACGUGAAAGUCGUGUAGGUGAAAAGAAAGCUGAGCGAGCAGGAUCCAGAGUACCGCCGGACACGUGAAACCCGGUGGGAAGUCGGGGGGACCACCCUCCAAGCCUAAAUACUACCCAAUGACCGAUAGCGAAUAGUACUGUGAAGGAAAGGUGAAAAGAACCCCGGGAGGGGAGUGAAAUAGAACCUGAAACCCUGUGCUUACAAGCACCGAGAGCACGUCAAUGUGUGAUCGGGUACCUUUUGUAGAAUGGUCCGGCGAGUUAUCGUAUGUAGCAAGGUUAAGGACUUCAGGUCCGGAGCCGCAGCGAGAGCGAGUCUGAAUAGGGCGAACAGUUGCAUGCGAUAGACCCGAAACCGAGUGACCUAGCCAUGUCCAGGAUGAAGUGGAGGUAAAACUCCAUGGAGGUCCGAACCGACCCCCGUUGAAAAGGUGGCGGAUGAGGUGUGGCUAGCGGAGAAAUUCCAAUCGAACUCGGAUAUAGCUGGUUCUCUCCGAAAUAGCUUUAGGGCUAGCGUUGUAUAUGAUUCUUGGAGGUAAAGCACUGAAUGGGCUAGGGGCCGAAAGGUUACUGAACCUUAUCAAACUCAGAAUGCCAAAGAAUAUGAGUACAGCAGUCAGACUACGUGAGAUAAGUCUCGUGGUCAAAAGGGAAACAGCCCAGACCCACAGCUAAGGUCCCUAAAUAGGUUUAAGUGGAAAAGGAUGUGGGGUUGCACAGACAACCAGGAUGUUGGCUUAGAAGCAGCCACUCAUUAAAAGAGUGCGUAAUAGCUCACUGGUCGAGUGACCCUGCGCCGAAAAUUCAACGGGGCUAAAAUCUAUACCGAAGCUUGGGAUUGACAGCAAUGUCAGUGGUAGGAGAGCGUUGUAUAAGGGACGAAGUCAGAGCGAAAGCGCUGGUGGACUUUAUACAAGUGAGAAUGCCGGAAUGAGUAGCGAGAAUUAUGUGAGAAUCAUAAUGGCCGAAAGACUAAGGUUUUAGAAGGAAGGUUCGUCCGCUUCUAGUUAGCCGGGAGCUAAGGCGAGGCCGAAAGGCGUAGUCGAUGCACAUACGGUGGAGAUUCCGUAGCCUCCGAAGGAUUUAAACAGAGGGACACUUUCAAAGCGUUUGACCCGGGCGUUGGUUGCCCCGGGCGUAAGGGACCGAAAAAUAUAGUAGGGAAGCAAGCGUGGAGGAAGGCGAGAAAAGCUCUGAGAAUAUCCAAGGAGCCCGUACUGAAAACCGACACAGGUAGUCAGGAAGAGAAUUCUAAGGCCAACGGGAGAAGGGUAGUUAAGGAACUCGGCAAAUUGACCCCGUAACUUCGGAAUAAGGGGUGCUCACUAAGGUGAGCCGCAGUGAAUAGGUCCAGGCGACUGUUUAUCAAAAACACAGCUCUCUGCUAAAUCGAAAGAUGAUGUAUAGGGGGUGACACCUGCCCGGUGCUGGAAGGUUAAGAGGAGGAGUGCAAGCUCCGAAUUGAAGCCCCAGUAAACGGCGGCCGUAACUAUAACGGUCCUAAGGUAGCGAAAUUCCUUGUCGGGU